UACGAGUGCCUCAAGCGUUAUCCGGAAUCAUUGGGCGUAAAGGGUGUGUAGGUGGUCAAAUUAGUCUCAUGUUAAAUUCUUCGGCUUAACCGGGGGCAUGCAUGGGAAACGGUUUGACUAGAGGAUGCAAGGGGUCUGCGGAACUCAUAGUGUAGCGGUGAAAUGCGUUGAUAUUAUGGGGAACACCAAAAGCGAAGGCAGCAGACUGGGGCACUCCUGACACUGAAACACGAAAGCGUGGGUAGCGAAUGGG
rnacentral:rRNA from 1 species